UCUUAAAAUCAUUAUAUUAUGGUUCUUAAGAUAACAUAAGGGAAAAAAUUGAUAGUACCUUAUUAUUAGUGUUGUCCAACAUUACUGGUGCCAGAAGACUCGGUAACGCCAGAAACGCAAACGUUAGUCGUCUUAAUCAGGCGUAAAGGGUAAGUAGGCGGCUUUAAAAGUUAAAAUUUAGAAAGCUCUUUAAAACAACUAAAGUAAAUAAUAAUGAAUUAAAGCUAGAAUCAAAAAGAGGAUAAGCCAAAUAAUAUUUAGAGUAAGGCUGAUAUCUUCAAAUACUAAAUAGAAUUCUAAUGGUGAAAACUUUUAUCUAAUAAUGAUUGACGCUGAGGAACGAAGGUGAGAAUAGAAAACAGGAUUAGAGACCCAGGUAUCUCUCACUGUCAACGAUGAAUGGUAGUUGUUAGCUUAGCUUAAGUUAGUAACGAGUAACGCGUAACC
rnacentral:rRNA from 1 species